GAAGCCCGUGUCAAGAACGGACCGCCCGAACUCGACCAUCGAGUCAAAACUAAAUGACGUUUGCUACUUUAAAAGCACAUCAGUUUCUGUGUCAAAAUGAAAUGUUGCCACGAAAUUAAGGCAGAUGCGGUGCUUUGUAUUUUUUUAAAUGCAGUACACCUAUCCCAAUUUCCUCAGCAAACCCCUUCAUCGCCCAUAAAUGUAAGGAACCGUACCGCAGUAAGGGCGCCCUCAUCCUUCUAAUAUGCGUCACGGAGGUAAUCAACAUAAAGUAGACACUUUUUAGGCGCUUCCCGGCACGUUCACGCGGUGGCAAGGUGGUCAGCCACCGCGUGCACGGGAAGUGCCUGAAAAGCCUCUUGGCCUUGGGGUCUCGAAUGUAGAACCAUGCCAGUGUAUUUUGCUCCAAUUAAUUUCCUAAGUGUGGUAGAGUGUGCUAGAAAUUCCUAGAGACCUGCAUGAUGAAAUUCAUCAUAGUCUGAUUACUUUUUAAUGUCCAAUGGCCAGUCCAUGAUGGGGGAAACGAACUGUGAUUCCAACGGAUCAUCUGGGUUAAACUAACAGAAGCGGGUGGUUCUUUGUGUCAACAAACACUGGAACAAAACCGCAGGGCUGUCAACUGCAAAGGCAAUUCCCAGGAUCAGGUUGGACUUUAAGUUUGCUGUACUUAUAGUUUCAAAUAAUUCUGUCAAACUCCACCGGCUGCACUUUACUAACAAUACACCAUAUUUUUUAAUUUCAGAGGGGAACAGAGUCCAGAAACUUUCUCAGACGCGGUUGCCAGGGUGCCCAAGUUCACUGUUUAGAUCUGUUUUGAUUUGGAUGACUACACCAGUACAGUAAACGAGAACCUCUGAGUCGCGGCCUUGGCCUUGCUGUGCCAGCUGAAUAGGCCUUGACGUCACACAAGCCUCAAGGCAUGCGUGACAUACUUUCCACGGGUCCGACCGGUAGUCGUGACGUCAUAGAAUUCGUCGCUGUGGCAACCCACUGCUGUUUGGCCCAAACUUUCCGGCGGGGCUAGGCUGGCUCGUUACAAUUACAAUGCGCGCUGGUAUAACGCCGGUGGUGGCACAGACCCGCGGGAAACAGCGUGUGAAAAAAAAUGCACAUGUACAUCUAUAUUUCAAAAAAAGUUGUGGUUCGGAUGAUCAUGUUUCGCGACAGUCUGCUUCCGAGGCCCAGUUUGACGUCACCCUUAGUCACAGGACAAAUCGCUCACACAGGGAUAGCCCGCAACCAGAGCAAGUGAAAGUCAUGAGCAACGCCGUGGAAGGACCGGAACCGCCCCGCUGAACAAUUAGGGUAAUCCCUGGCCGGCCUUGACUGCCGAGUCUGGAAAUGAUUGUUCGCGGAUAAUGCGAUUAGGCCACUGAUAUAAUACAACGUGGUUACUGAACGAAUUUACAAAGCAUACUGGAAAAAUCUUAAAUCCUUUCUGUAUUCUUCCGUUCGCUCUAUUUGCCUUCGUUCCAGCCAAAUAACUUUGUUUGAAAAAAAGCAGACCCUUCACAGAUAGAGACGACAUUCAUACGGGUGUUGAAAGUACAACCAGUGGCGUCAAUCUAUCUGAAUAGGGGGGAGAGAAUGGGGGAUGAACGGUGAGGGUUGGAGGAGGCUGGAAACCAGCUGACAUUGUCAUGAGCGUCCCUCAGACACCUCCCAACAAAUGGAGUUUCUUGAGAUCUGAUGCUACAUUCCGAUGCUACACAAUUCACGGAUAUCAUAAUAAACUUAAAGGUAGAGAAAUGGAGGAUAUCCUCUGGCCUAUCCCCCCCCCAAAAAAAAACUGUUAGGGGAUACCAAAUUCACCCCCCCCUUCCCCUCGGGAUUCACGUCCAUGAGUGCACAGCCCCUCGUGAAAAUUAUGCGGCCACGUGGUAGUCAGUAAUAUACAGACUCUGCAAUUUGACGGUUUCCCGACUGCGCGUGAUGUAUCAAGGUUCUCUGUACACAGCGUUCAAUGAACAGGGGAUUUCCGGGGGGAGAGGUUGGGGUCGGGAUCACGGACAACAGGUCUGUCUCCUCACUGUGCACAAUGUGCCUAGUUUCCAAAGGGUUCCCUCACCGGAAAAGUAUAAUGUCCUGUGGAAACACAAAUCGACAAAAAAAUAUGUUCACGUUUUACUUCACCGGCCUCGGGUACUGGGAAGUUGUAAGGAAAACGAUUUCUGUUAUGGUUUGCUUAGUAAAUGGGUUUAGAAAUUUGGUGCGCUCAAAUUCACCAAGGGAAAAUUUAACAAGGCUUGUAAAACAAAAACCGGCAAUGCCAUUGAUUUAGCACCAAUCUCCAUGUAUGUCCUGUGCUGUUUGAUAUAUGAGUCAAAUAAUACAAAAUUUUCAUUAAUCCACCCCUGGGUAUAUGUAAAAUCAUAUUGAAGUUGGAGGACUAAGGACUCUUAGGGCUAACGGAGGACUCUGCAGGUCUAUCAGGCGCCCUCAUGUGACACCAAGUUCUCCUCUCACUAAAGGAAUUUCCCGAGUUAUUUCGCGUCGUCGUCUUGUCAUCAAAUUAUAUGAAAAUUUAUGUGUUUCUUGUGUUUUAUCGGACAUUUGCCCUUAAAAUAAAUCUUCUUAAACUAUUUCAGACACUGGUAAUUUUUGUUCUCUUUGGUGUCAGGCUUGGUUUGGCUGUAUGUUUUCGAUUCGUCAUUUAAAAAAGUUAUUUAAAAAUGUAGUUUACGUCAUCAUUUCAAAGCAAGUAGAUCUGGAUCUUGCCUUUGCGGUUGUAAAAUGUUCUUUUGUGAUUUGGAUAUUAAUUUUCGUCUUUCAACAUUGUAUUUGCUCUCUCCAUCUGUGAAUAUAAGAAGCAG